rnacentral:rRNA from 1 species
CUACGGGCGGCUGCAGUCGAGAAUCUUUAGCAAUGGGCGAAAGCCUGACUAUGCGACGCCGCGUGAGCGAUGAAGGCCUUCGGGUCGUAAAGCUCUGUCGCACCGGAUGAAUGUUUAGUAUUUGAAUAAGGUACUGGAUUGACAGUACGGUGAGAGGAAGCCACGGCUAACUCCGUGCCAGCAGCCGCGGUAAUACGGAGGUGGCAAGCGUUGUUCGGAUUUAUUGGGUGUAAAGGGUGUGUAGGUGUCCCGAUAAGUCGGGUGUGAAAUCCUUCAGCUUAACUGAAGAAUUGCGCCCGAAACUGACGGGAUUGAGUGCAUAAGAGGAGAGGGGAAUUCUUGGUGUAAGGGUGAAAUCUGUAGAUAUCGAGAAGAACACCGGUGGCGAAGGCGCCUCUCUGGUAUGUAACUGACACUGAGACACGAAAGCGUGGGGAGCAAACAGGAUUAGAUACCCUGGUAGUC